AAAUGUGCUUGCUGUCUUAACCCUUUGAAGUUUGUAAAAUUACAAGUGGGAUUGAUAACAUUGAUUUGGGGAGAACUCCUGACAGUGGAAACUCUGGAAAUAAAAGCUGCCUGCAGUAAAUGAUCCCUACUCUAGGGCAAUGGUUGGUUGUGGGGCUGAACCCAACCUGAGUCCUUCUGCCAGCACCCAGCUGAGGGCAGAGCUAGGGGAAGGAGGAGCUGCAUGUCCCUGGACUGAACAUCCCCCAACUCCCCAAAGUAUUGUGUCUUCCCCAUGUCAAUGGCAUCCUGUGUUUGAGCUUUCUUGACUUAAACUGCUACUGAGUAUUGAUGCACAGCAGCUGUGGUGGCAUUUGAGGUGUGAAAGAAGCAUUGAGGGCCAAACACUGCUCAGUCAGGGUUGAGGGAAAGGAGGAGGCAGCAUGCUUUUGUCUGCAAAGUGCAGGUUUUGCAAGCUUCUGAGAUAUGGUCUGGCUUGUAGCAUGCUUUGAGUUGAAAGAUGCUUGCUGAUGAGCAGGUAACGAAGACAGCUCCCCAGCAUGAGGUGACCUGCCAGGGUUUGGUCCAGAUGGUCUGUGGUACGCUGUGAAGCAAGAGCUGAGGAACAGGGGAAGAUGUCCACAAGUUACCUGCAAUCGUUUGCCUUCUGCCCCACCGCCUGGAAGGUCUUUGGAAGAAAAUUGAUUGCAGGAUGCUGUUCCCCAGCAGUUUCAGCUGAUCCAAGCCUGGGCAGCUGCUGUCCUUCCUCUUCUGUGCCCAGCUGCACGGUCAGCUCCGUUUGCUGCGGGUGCCCUGUGGUUAACUCCUGGAGCUGAGAGGUAGGCGUGCUGAGCUUUCCUGCUAUGCCGUGCAGUAAGCAUUGCUGUAGAGAGGAAAUCAUAGCUGAGGACGGUGUAUGGAGAAAGUCUUCUGAAGGCUGAACUUCUGUGUACGGCAGUGAUUUACAGAGGUUCUUUGACUCUGUCUGGCCACUCGCAAGGCACCAGCGACCUGAUAAUUAGAUGGAGAAUUGAAGAUCUUUGACAGUGCUGCUAAUCAACAUCUCAGUGCUGGCUUUCUACUCUGCCUGACCAAAAAAAAGGACGUGUGCUUAUCGACUGCAGGGGUGUCCGUGUGAUUGUAACCAUAUUAGAUUGCAACUGGUAGAGCACGGAGUUAUCUUCAGGUGCUUUAUGAAACUGCGACACAGCUUCAGCAGGGACCCACCAGACGUGAACUCAGCCAGACGGUCUGAAAGCCACAGGCUAAAAGAAGAUGAUCAUCAAGAGAAACAAGCAAAGAGAAAAGAUCUGUGACUUCUGUCAAGGAACUCUGAGCCUGCUGCAAGUUUUCACAUACCCCAGAGAAAGCAGAUCCCAGCACCUGCCUGCCCUGAAAACCUGAGAGGCAUGAGAUUUGAACGAGCUGUUGUCUGUACAGAUGGAGCCUCAGCUGAGGGACUGCUGCUCCUCUUCACCAUGCUGAACCUCACUGUUGGUGGAUUGUGCGGAUGGGCAAGAGAAUGGAAAACGUGGCCCAGAGCAGCUUCAACACGUGGCACGGAGAUUGCAGCUCCGAGGAGGCCGUUUCACCUGCUCUCUCCUCCUUGCUCAUUCCCGGCGGUGGCUCCGCUUAAAGCUUGGACUCGUGGCUCCAAUCAAGCGAGCGCCCAAAUUCCUAGAGGUACCAUUUUGCAGCAAUGUGAGCCUAAUUGUUUCUAGAUUGAAUAUUUUCAUGGGAUAUCAGUCUCAGUGUUUCUGGAAUUAGCAUGCUCACUGAAGGAUUGAAGAUGCUUAUCGGGCCCGACAGCUUUAGUGUCAGCGGGAUCAUCGACAGCUCUGCGAAACUUAACUGGGCUGGCGACAAUAUUUAUUUAUGCGGAAUGGAGACAUAUGGCCAGAAUCAUCCGCUCCCUUUCCUCAGUAAUUAAAACAUCUGGGAGCACAAAAGGGCUGUAAGAAGAAGAAAAAAAAACCCUCUCUGCUAAAUAAAACAGGAGCGCGGUGCCUUUACAUAAUUGCCCAGGCUUUCUUUUGCCAUCGCGGCAGGGUCUCUGGAGGACCAACCUUCUCUAAUGUUUUUUGAGUGCGUGACGGUCAAUAGAAAUGCAACUGAACUGAGCACAGCACUCAAACUUU